CCUACGGGAGGCAGCAGUGGGGAAUAUUGCACAAUGGGGGAAACCCUGAUGCAGCGACGCCGCGUGAGUGAAGAAGUAUUUCGGUAUGUAAAGCUCUAUCAGCAGGGAAGAAAAUGACGGUACCUGAUUAAGAAGCCCCGGCUAACUACGUGCCAGCAGCCGCGGUAAUACGUAGGAGGCAAGCGUUAUCCGGAUUUACUGGGUGGAAAGGGAGCGUAGACGGCAGCACAAGUCUGGAGUGAAAUGCCGGGGCUUAACCCCGGAACUGCUUUGGAAACUGUGCAGUUCGAGUGAAGGGGAGGUAAGUGGAAUUACUAGUGUAGCGGUGAAAUGCGUAGAUAAUAGGAGGAACACCAGUGGCGAAGGCGGCUUACUGGACUGUAACUGACGUUGAGGCUCGAAAGCGUGGGGAGCAAACAGGAUUAGAUACCCGGGUAGUC
rnacentral:rRNA from 1 species